rnacentral:rRNA from 1 species
GAUGAACGCUGGCGGCGUGCCUAAUACAUGCAAGUCGAACGAACAGACGAUGAGCUUGCUCCUUUGACGUUAGCGGCGGACGGGUGAGUAACAAGUGGAUAACCAACCUAUAAGACUGGGAUAACUUCGGGAAACCGGAGCUAAUACCGGAUAAUAUAUUGAACCGCAUGGUUCAAUAGUGAAUGACGGCUUUGCUGACACUUAUAGAUGGAUCCGCGCCGCAUUAGCUAGUUGGUAAGGUAACGGCUUAACAAGGCAACGAUGCGUAGCCGACCUGAGAGGGUGGUCCGCCACACUGGAACUGAGACACGGUCCAGACUCCUACGGGAGGCAGCAGUAGGGAAUCUUCCGAAAUGGGCGAAAGCCUGACGGAGCAACGCCGCGUGAGUGAAGAAGGUCUUCGGGUCGUAAAACUCUGUUAUUAGGGAAGAACAAAUGUGUAAGUAACUAUGCACGUCUUGACGGUACCUAAUCAAAAAGCCACGGCUAACUACGUG